rnacentral:rRNA from 1 species
GUGGGGAAUCUUCCGCAAUGGACGAAAGUCUGACGGAGCAACGCCGCGUGAUCGAUGACGGCCUUCGGGUUGUAAAGUUCUGUUAUACGGGACGAAUGGUACGACGGCCAAUACCCGUCGUAAGUGACGGUACCGUAAGAGAAAGCCACGGCUAACUACGUGCCAGCAGCCGCGGUAAUACGUAGGUGGCAAGCGUUGUCCGGAAUUAUUGGGCGUAAAGGGCGCGCAGGCGGCGUCGUAAGUCGGUCUUAAAAGUGCGGGGCUUAACCCCGUGAGGGGACCGAAACUGCGAUGCUAGAGUAUCGGAGAGGAAAGCGGAAUUCCUAGUGUAGCGGUGAAAUGCGUAGAUAUUAGGAGGAACACCAGUGGCGAAAGCGGCUUUCUGGACGACAACUGACGCUGAGGCGCGAAAGCCAGGGGAGCAAACGGGAUUAGAAACCCUGGUAGUCC